rnacentral:rRNA from 1 species
CAGCGCCGCAAGUGGCGAUCCUUUUUAUUUGGCCUAAAGCGUCCGUAGCCGGUUUGGUAAAUCUUUUGUGAAAUUGUUCAGCUCAACUGAACAGCGUGCAGGAGAGACUGCCAAGCUAGGGACCGGGAGGAGCUAGAGAUAUGCUGGGGGGAGCGGUAAAAUGCUAUAAUCCUCAGUAGAUCACCUGUGGCGAAGGCGUCUAGCUAGAACGGGUCCGACGGUGAGGGACGAAAGCCAGGGGAGCAAACCGGAUUAGAUACCCGAGUAGUCC